UACGUAGGGGGCGAGCGUUGUCCGGAUUUAUUGGGCGUAAAGAGCUCGUAGGCGGUUUGGCAAGUCGGGUGUGAAAACUCCGGGCUCAACUCGGAGACGCCACUCGAUACUGCCAUGACUCGAGUCCGGUAGGGGAGUGCGGAAUUCCUGGUGUAGCGGUGAAAUGCGCAGAUAUCAGGAGGAACACCGGUGGCGAAGGCGGCACUCUGGGCCGGUACUGACGCUGAGAAGCGAAAGCAUGGGGAGCGAACAGG
rnacentral:rRNA from 1 species